CUACGGGAGGCAGCAGUGGGGAAUAUUGCACAAUGGAGGAAACUCUGAUGCAGCAACGCCGCGUGGAGGAUGACACAUUUCGGUGCGUAAACUCCUUUUAUGAGUCAAGAUAAUGACGGUAGCUCAUGAAUAAGCGCCGGCUAACUCCGUGCCAGCAGCCGCGGUAAUACGGAGGGCGCAAGCGUUACUCGGAAUCACUGGGCGUAAAGAGCGUGUAGGCGGGUAGAUAAGUUUGAAGUGAAAUCCAAUGGCUUAACCAUUGAACUGCUUUGAAAACUGUCUACCUAGAAUAUGGGAGAGGUAGAUGGAAUUUCUGGUGUAGGGGUAAAAUCCGUAGAGAUCAGAAGGAAUACCGAUUGCGAAGGCGAUCUACUGGAACAUUAUUGACGCUGAGACGCGAAAGCGUGGGGAGCAAACAGGAUUAGAUACCCUCGUAGUC
rnacentral:rRNA from 1 species